rnacentral:lncRNA from 1 species
CCGAAUUAAGUAUCUUAAGCAACAUAACAAACAAAACUUCUGAGCCACCUUGGAAAACCAAGGCACCUCAAAAGAAAAUGCAGACAGACUCAACAAAGUUUUUCUCGCCACCGCCUGUCAAGCACCCAACUCUGGGAGCGGAUACCAGUCAUACAAGGCAGAAAUCUAGAACCUAAGAACCACAUUAAAGACCGAACAAAAACAUCACAAGCAGAGAAAACAAUGUCUCCAUAACACACUUUAUUGUAGUAGAUAUCGCGAGUACCACCAGAAUUGAACUGCAACGUUCAUUUCUUCUUCUG